UGGUGACUAUAGCCUGAAGGAUCCACCUGUUCUCAUUCCGAACACAGAAGUUAAGCUUCAGCGCGCCGAAAGUACUUGUAGGGUGACUUACCGGGAGGAUAGGUCGUUGCC
rnacentral:rRNA from 1 species